rnacentral:rRNA from 1 species
UACGUUCCCGGGCCUUGUACACACCGCCCGUCAAGUCACGAAAGUCGGUAACACCCGAAGCCGGUGGCCCAACUCUUUGAGGGGGAGCCGUCGAAGGUGGGGACUGGCGAUUGGGACU